AACGAACGCUGGCGGCAUGCCUAACACAUGCAAGUCGAACGAGACUUUCGGGUCUAGUGGCGCACGGGUGCGUAACGCGUGGGAGCCUGCCCUUAGGUUCGGAAUAACUCCCCGAAAGGGGUGCUAAUACCGGAUAAUGUCUUCGGACCAAAGAUUUAUCGCCUUUGGAUGGGCCCGCGUUGGAUUAGCUAGUUGGUAGGGUAAAAGCCUACCAAGGCGACGAUCCAUAGCUGGUCUGAGAGGAUGAUCAGCCACACUGGGACUGAGACACGGCCCAGACUCCUACGGGAGGCAGCAGUGGGGAAUAUUGGACAAUGGGCGAAAGCCUGAUCCAGCAAGGCCGCGUGAGUGAUGAAGGCCUUAGGGUUGUAAAGCUCUUUUACCCGGGAUGAUAAUGACAGUACCGGGAGAAUAAGCUCCGGCUAACUCCGUG
rnacentral:rRNA from 1 species